UGGCCAUAACCUCUGACAGUGUAAAGCAGCUUGUAGUUUUCCAUUGAACGUGUCGACGUGUCUGCAUCCACCACUCUGCUAAUGGUAAAGCGUUACAGAGGCCUUGCAGCAUGGAUUUUCCUGGCCCCAGGUGGAAUGUGAUAUCAAUCUGACCAGUGAUGUAAAGCUAACUGGGCUGUUUUCCAGUAAUCGGGGCAUAUGAGCAAAAUGGCCCUAAAGCUAGGUGUAAUCCCCAGAUUGGUGGCUUGCUGCUUCUUUGUCACGGUGGCCAACAGACCGAUGGGGGUUGUACAUUUGAUACAUGUAACAUAACUGAAAGAACGGCUGGGCACAGGUCAAACAAUUCCAUUGGACUGAGGUGGACAUCUUGAAAAGCAAGAAGGACCACCUAAUGUGAAAGGUGGACAGACAUCCUCAACAUACUGAUUGCUGGAACGGUUCUACUUGCAAG
ensembl:lncRNA